GAUUAAGCCAUGCAUGUGUAAGUAUAAAUAAUUAUAUAGUGAAACUGCGAAUGGCUCAUUAUAUCAGUUAUAGUUUAUUUGAUAAUUAAUUUGAAAUUUCUUACGAAAUUUUAAUACUAAUUGGAUAACCGUAGUAAUUCUAGAGCUAAUACAUGAAUUAAAAUCCUAACUUUUAUAGAAAGGAUGUAUUUAUUAGAUGAUAAAACCAAUAUAAUUAAUAAGGUGAAUCAUAAUAAUUAAUCGAAUCGUAUGGUUGUAAAAUACUAACGAUAAAUCAUUCAAGUUUCUGCCCUAUCAGCUUUCGAUGGUAGUGUAUUGGACUACCAUG
rnacentral:rRNA from 1 species